CUCAUGAACUAGAAGAAAUCCAGAGUGAAAUAGAAACAUAUUUGAGAAGUCUGCCAGCACUGAAAGGAGAAUUAACUAUUAUCACAUCUCCUUUGGUCCCAGAUAUUUUCAUACAUGGAUUUACUACAAGAACAGGUGGGAUAUCUUAUAUACCAACUCUCAGCUCCUUCAAUCUCUUCAGUAGUUCCAAACGAAGAGAUCCCAAGGUAGUUGUUCAAGAAAAUCUACAUAGGUUGGCAAAAACUGCAGGUUUUAAUGUGGAAAAUUUUUAUCAAAUAAAGGCCUGCGAGGUACUUUAUUAGGUUUGCUAUGGCUACAGUGGAUGCUGUGAUAGCAGAAUAUGGCUGUAGCUUAGAAGACAUUAUUGUUGUACUGGGACCUUCAGUAGGACCUUGCUGUUUUACUCUUCCCAGGGAAUCAGCAAACGCAUUUCAUAAUCUUCAUCCUGAAUGCCUGUGACUUUUUAACUCACCCAGACCCCAUAUUGACAAUCCCUAAAGCUACCAGGUAUGUUUGAUUUUCACUGUGGAACUGCAAGUUUGAUUAUUGUUCAUUGCUUCUGAAAUGAAAAUUAUUUUAGAGACCAGGUGCUAACUCCAAGAAGACAGGUGGCAGAUAUACCCUGCAAUAUACACUACACAAAAACUCAUUUUAAAUAUAAAAUCUAUUCUCAACAUGUGCAAAUGACAUAAAAUUUCUUGUCUGGUAUCUCUCAUUGAUUUGAAAGUGAAGGAAGAAGCAGUUGGCCUUGAAAAAGAUUCAAUUUCUACUUAAACUUAACUAGCAUUUACUUGACAUUACAGUCAUUCCUUGGGUAAACUCUCUAGAAUAUAAAAGCAUUUGGAAAGCUAAUAUUUUAAAAUUGUUCAUAUUUUCUAAUUAAUUGGAAGGAUAUAUGUCUUCAAAAAAUAUUAGGUAACAUAAAUACACAGUCACUUUUCUUUUUUGUGGUCUCAUGCAUCUUGAAUUUAAAAAAUUUUGCUUUUAAUAUCUAUUGAAAACUAUUUGUUAUUUCUACAAAGGAAAAUUGAUAGCUGAUUUGAAUUGUGUUCCUAUUCUAGUCAGUAAAACCUUAGUCAUUUAAUACCUAAGUAUAAAGAAUUGGAAUUGAUUCUUGAUUUGACUUGUCAAAUAAUAUCACUAAUUUUCAUUCACAUUUCAAGUUUUAUAGGGAAGCAAGUUUUCAGUGAAAAAUACGGCUAAUUAAGAGGAAAGAAGACCAGACCGUUAGAUGACUAAAAAGCACACUCUGUCUAAACCAAAUGAAUCUUGGUUAAAAAUAAUCUUGUAGUUUGAAAAAUUUCUUCUUAAAUAAGCCCUUGAUUUUGAUUAUAAAAUUCUGUAACUAGAUUAUGUCUACAGGACAGUAUGGAAGUUCAUACAGUUCAUUCAUAAACUUAGGUGAUAAAAAUCUACCAUUUCUUAGCUAUUCCUUGUUGUGAACAUAAGUAAUAAUUUGCCUUAUUCCUACUAGAUUUUUUAUAGAACUCUUUUACAUCGUUGUACAUACUGUUUUCGUAUUUCUUUGGCAUUUGGUAAAAUAAAUGCUUUCUCUCUUUUGAAAAAUCUUUAUCUUAAGGAUUUUUCUAGAACAAGAAGGAAUUCUUCCACAGAAUAUUCACGACCUGAACCAGAAUCUCAACCUUUGUACAUCUUGCCAUCCUGACAAAUUUUUCUCCCAUGUCCGAGAUGGCCUUAAUUUUGACACACAGAUUGGCUUCAUAUCGAUUAGAGAAUGAGGUACUGGGUUCUCCCUUCCCUCUCCAGUCUCUCUUGCCUCGUUCUCUGACUCCCUCUCUUUCUCCUUCUUUCUUUUCCUCUCUUCUUCUUCCUCUUCUAGCCUUUUUCCUCCCCUCACUUAAAAAAAAAAUUAAGUAUACUUAAUUUUACCCUUUUAUUCCUAUAAAAAGAAUUGGUUUUUCUCUUUUAUUGAGACCAUAGGUAGUAGAAAAGUUCUUUUUCAGUAACAUAUUCCAUUAUAAAAAUGAGCCAUUCCUUUUCCUAGUUAGUGAAUAAUCAGGCAGGUUUAUAUUAAAAGAACUAAAAUAAAUUGAUAUAGUUUUUUAAAAUCCUGUAAGUUUUUUGUGUUUAUUAUAUACUUGAUAUCUAUACAUUUCUAUCAUCUUUAUGCCUUUUUUAAAAAAUUUGUUGAAAUGACAUCUUUGCAUAAAGAUUCUAAAUUCUAUGAUAAAAAAAUACACAGUAUACAAAUUAGAUUAGUUUUCAGAUAGAUUUCCAACUUCUGUCUAUAGUAGAGUUGACCAGAUUUUUCUUUAGAGGGCCAGAUAAUAAAUAUUUUGUGUUUUGUGUGA